rnacentral:rRNA from 1 species
AUUGAACGCUGGCGGCAUGCCUUACACAUGCAAGUCGAACGGCAGCACGGGAGCAAUCCUGGUGGCGAGUGGCGAACGGGUGAGUAAUGUAUCGGAACGUACCUUUCAGUGGGGGAUAACGUAGCGAAAGUUACGCUAAUACCGCAUAUUCUGUGAGCAGGAAAGCAGGGGAUCGCAAGACCUUGCGCUGAUUGAGCGGCCGAUAUCAGAUUAGCUAGUUGGUGAGGUAAAGGCUCACCAAGGCGACGAUCUGUAGCGGGUCUGAGAGGAUGAUCCGCCGCACUGGAACUGAGACACGGUCCAGACUCCUACGGGAGGCAGCAGUGGGGAAUUUUGGACAAUGGGCGCAAGCCUGAUCCAGCCAUGCCGCGUGAGUGAAGAAGGCCUUCGGGUUGUAAAGCUCUUUCGGCCGGGAAGAAAUCGUGUGGGUUAAUACCCUGCAUGGAUGACGGUACCGGAAUAAGAAGCACCGGCUAACUACGUGCCAGCCGCCGCAGUAACAC